rnacentral:rRNA from 1 species
CCAUGCCGCGUGAAGGAUACGGCCCUAUGGGUCUUCAACUUCUUUUGUAUGGGAGCAAUAAGGUCUACGUGUAGACUGAUGAGAGUACCAUACGAAUAAGCACCGGCUAACUCCGUGCCAGCAGCCGCGGUAAUACGGAGGGUGCAAGCGUUAUCCGGAUUUAUUGGGUUUAAAGGGUGCGUAGGCGGHCGAWUAAGUCAGUGGUGAAAUUUAACAGCUCAACUGUUACCGUGCCAUUGAAACUGGUCAUCUAGAAURCGGUUGCCGUGGGAGGAAUGUGUAGUGUAGCGGUGAAAUGCAUAGAUAUUACACAGAACACCGAUUGCGAAGGCAUCUCACGAAGCCGUCWUUGACGCUGASGCACGAAAGUGUGGGGAUCAAACAGGAUUAGAUAUCCNUGGUAGUC